UUGUCCUGGACCAAUUGUAGAUUCUGAAGGAAGAGCGAUCAAUAUUCUACUCAGCCUGGACAACGGAAAAAACUUCCUGAAUAACGGUUUAUACGUUGCCAGUAGGAUAUGUGGCAAAAGUCCACUAACUACAGUUAAAACCAGCGGAAAAACUACAACCAUAACUACAAAAACUACAAGGAGGACUACCACCACAACUCCAUCCACUACAACUACUACACCCACCACCAUCACAGAGAAACCGAAGCCAAGCAUCGAUAAAUUCAUUUUUGUCCCUAUACUUCUGGCCCUGCUGCUGUCGAUGUUGCUGAUUGGUUGUUGCUGGCAGCUGUGCUGUGUUCCGCCUGUAGAGGAGCUGCCCCCACCUCAGCCCCGACCACAGGUAAGUCAUGCUUUGGAUGCUGACAUUGUCACGUGGCCAAGUACAAUGACCUUCAAGAGAGGAAUCAGAAGACCUGCACUCAGGAAGGAAGAAGGGCAGAGGAGCUCAAGGAUCAAGAAAGGGGUUCACAGUGACAUCACCCAAAGACAAGGUCCUACCCGAUUUUUAGGAUCUCCUGCCUUAGCUACACCAUCUGCACCCUGGGGAGCUGCGUCAGCAUAUGCAGUUGUUUCUAUGGGCUGUAGCUCUUAGGAGACCUCAGAGGACUCUGGUGCCAGGGUUGCAGCUGCGCUCCUGAGAACUGGAUUCCCUGUCAAGCCCUGGUUCCCAUCCCUAUGUUGGAGGUCUUUAGAUCUAACUCCAACCCUGCUCCUGUCGAGGUAGAAGGAUUGGCUGGGAUCAGCCUAGGGAC
rnacentral:lncRNA from 1 species